rnacentral:rRNA from 1 species
UAGGGAAUUUUCGUCAAUGGGCGCAAGCCUGAACGAGCAAUGCCGCGUGAACGAGGAAGGUCUUCGGAUCGUAAAGUUUUGUUGAAGGGGAAAAAGAGCGGAGAGAGGAAAUGGUCUCCGAUUGAUAUUACCCUUCGAGGAAGUCACGGCUAACUACGUGCC